CCUACGGGGGGCAGCAGUGGGGAAUAUUGCACAAUGGGCGCGAGCCUGAUGCAGCCAUGCCGCGUGUGUGAAGAAGGCCUUCGGGUUGUAAAGCACUUUCAGCGGGGAGGAAGGCGUUAAGGUUAAUAACCUUGGCGAUUGACGUUACCCGCAGAAGAAGCACCGGCUAACUCCGUGCCAGCAGCCGCGGUAAUACGGAGGGUGCAAGCGUUAAUCGGAAUUACUGGGCGUAAAGCGCACGCAGGCGGUCUGUCAAGUCGGAUGUGAAAUCCCCGGGCUCAACCUGGGAACUGCAUUCGAAACUGGCAGGCUAGAGUCUUGUAGAGGGGGGUAGAAUUCCAGGUGUAGCGGUGAAAUGCGUAGAGAUCUGGAGGAAUACCGGUGGCGAAGGCGGCCCCCUGGACAAAGACUGACGCUCAGGUGCGAAAGCGUGGGGAGCAAACAGGAUUAAUACCCCUGUAGUC
rnacentral:rRNA from 1 species